rnacentral:lncRNA from 1 species
UAAGCAAGUAAUUGUGAUUAUAGAUAUAAUUCAAAGGAACAGAUUAAUGGAAAAUUAUAAAAGAACCUCAAAGUGGCAUCCGAUUACAGUGAAUUGAUUCUUGGGAAAUUAGUUCUCCAUAGUCAUUCUUUGCAAGCUCUCAAAUUCGUACAUGAACCGUGAUUUUUCCGUUCAAUUCCCAAUGGUGUACGGCUGCUAGACCUAGGGGAAAACAAAUACCCGUUUUACAACUCAACUGGGUCGACCCAUCCCACUACAAAUGACCCAACAAAAAUACAAAUAAAAUUCUGCAACUUCAACAGACUUUCUGGCCCUGCUACAGUUCGAUUCAGCUCUCGACUUCUG